GUGUCAGCAGCCGCGGUAAUACGUAGGGUGCAAGCGUUGAUCGGAAUUACUGGGCGUAAAGCGUGCGCAGGCGGUUAUACGAGACAGGCGUGAAAUCCCCGGGCUUAACCUGGGAAUUGCGUCUGUGACUGUAUGGCUAGAGUGUGUCAGAGGGGGGUAGAAUUCCACGUGUAGCAGUGAAAUGCGUAGAUAUGUGGAGGAAUACCAAUGGCGAAGGCAGCCCCCUGGGAUAACACUGACGCUCAUGCACGAAAGCGUGGGGAGCAAACAGGAUUAGAUACCCUGGUAGUCCACGCCCUAAACGAUGCUGACUAGUUGUUCGGGAUUUACAUCCUGAGUAACGUAGCUAACGCGUGAAGUCAGCCGCCUGGGGAGUACGGUCGCAAGAUUAAAACUCAAAGGAAUUGGCGGGG
rnacentral:rRNA from 1 species